AUGGAAGAUUCACUCUGUGUAGCAUUCCCAGGCAUUUGAGAGCCUGUAGAGCUCUCUCUCUCUCUCUCUCUCUCUCUCUCUCAUACAGCGUUCCUUGCACAUAACAAAGCUUUUCGUUCCAGCUCCAGCCCUCCUGUGUAGAUUGAAUAAAUAAAUAAAUCUCCAAAUAUACUCUUUAAACGCCAGUUUAUUGCAAGGGAAGUCAACACGUUCUUACUGUUUUGUGUUAUUCACUUUUUUGUGGCGCUGCCUAUUUACUGCAUCCUACAAAACUUGCAUGUUUUGAUGGUCGUGGUCCAUGAUGUACAGUCAUAAAGUAGAGGCAGCAGCAGAUGGGCGGCUGCUUUUGAUAUAAGGCUUUAAUAUUGCAUGCAAGCCAUAGACGUAUAUAGCUGUGAGAUAAUUACUUUUUUUUCCUGUAAUGCAAAGCUGUCGAGGAAGAACCCGCAUCUCCACCGUGUGUGUGUGGAUAGAUAGAUAGAUAGAUAGAUAUAAACACAUUGCAGUAUUAAUCUAAUAAAUAAUCCCUGUGUGUCUGUUUUGUCUCAGCUGGUGGACCAAUAGUGGUUUUUUGCUUGACGAACAGCUGUUUGAUUCUAGCAGGUUAGCUGCCAGAGGGGCACAGUUCAUCUCUCCAUAAGGAGGAUGUCUUCCACAGGACAUAGAAUGUAAUUACAGCACGGCUGGGUAGUACUACAGUUGCUUAGGUUGACUUCUCAUUGCUAUUUACAGCGAGUUUUUCCUCCCUCUCUCUUAUUACUAGAACUUAGGGGCAGCCCAUGAAGCUGACUGCUGAAAGAUGCGGGGCAGACCAAAGGAAAUACUUUUACAUGGUCAUAUGACACCCUUAUGAUGCCCCCUCCCAUGGGAGGCAACGAUGGUCGCCAACUUGUAUGGGUUGAAAAGAGGAAUGGACAAAUGGAUGGAGGACUGGUUAUGGUUGGAGGCAGCCCGCCUCUGAACACCAGUUACAGUGGUACCUCGGGUUACAUACGCUUCAGGUUACAGACUCUGCUAACCCAGAAAUAGUGCUUCAGGUUAAGAACUUUGCUUCAGGAUGAGAACAGAAAUCGUGCUCUGGUGGCGCGGCAGCAGCAGGAGGCCCCAUUAGCUAAAGUGGUGCUUCAGGUUAAGAACAGUUUCAGGUUAAGAACGGACCUCCGGAACAAAUAAAGUACUUAACCCAAGGUACCACUGUACUGGGCAUCACAAAUUUAGAGAGCUCUGUUGUACUUGGGUCCUUCUUGUAGGCUUCCCAUAGGCCUCUGUGAAGACAGGAUGAUUAAUUCGAUGGGCCUCUGGCCUGAUCCACUAGGGCUGUUCUUAUGCCCUUACUGUGACUUCUAACAUGAUUGUCAGUAACUCAUUAUGGGGCCAAUCCUUUGCAGGGUCGCACCUGUAUGCCAGAUAACGCAAGCAUGUGGAAGAGUACAAGGGAAGAACUGGCAUACUCAGCGUUGGGGGCGAAAGGGCGGGUUAGCCUUGCACGUUGAGUUAGCAAGGUUUCAAGAUGGAUAAGCAAGUGAGAAUUUGUAGCAGGUGUGUCCAGGACCUCUAAGUUGCUCAGACAGCUAGCAACUUAGACAGUAUCGUAUAGUGCAGGGUGUAGUGGUUCAGAGCGGUGGACUCGUAAUCUGGUGAACCGGGUUCGCUUCCCCGCUCCUUCACCUGCAGCUGCUGGGUGACCUUGGGCCAGUCACACUUCUCUGAAGUCUCUCAGCCUCACUCACCUCACAGAGUGUUUGUUGUGGGGGAGGAAGGGAAAGGAGAAUGUUAGCCACUUUGAGACUCCUUAGGGUAGUGAUAAAGCGGAAUAUCAAAGCCAAACUACUACUACUACUACUACUACUACUACUACUCUUCUUCUUCUUCUUCUUCUUCUUCUUCUUCUUCUUCUUCUUCUUCCAAAUGUUGUUGGUACUACAGCUCUCACUUUUGGCGACCAGUGGCCGUGCUGGUUGGCGCUGAUGGAAACGGGAGUUGAUCAACAUCUAGAGAGCCACAGGAUCCCCAUUCCUUACAUAGUAUAUGUUGAACACUGGGCUGCGUGUGGCGUAGCUUGAAGUUUGGUUUUCCAGGUGGAGCAGGCAGUGGUUGGAUGGAGUUUAGAGUUUGUGUAGUUCACAAUUUUGGCCUCCGGGGGCAUAGAAUUGUAGAGUUGGAAGAGAAGCCAAGGGUCACCCUGUCCAACCCCCUGCAAUGCAGGAAUCUUGCCCACAGCUAUCCCUGGAUGGGUUCGAACCACCAACCUUCUAGUUAACAGACAGACAUGCUGAUCCCUUGCGCCACAGAGCCCUUCAUAGAAUUGGAAGGGACCAUGUGGGUCAUUGAGUCUAACCCCCUGCAAUGCAGGAAUCUUUUGCUUAGCGUGGGGCUCGAACCCACAGCCUUGAGAUUAAGAGUCUCAUGCUCUGCCGACUGAGCUAUCCCAGCUUGAUAAUGUGUUGUGGUUAUAUGGCCUGACUGAUGCCUGAGUGGCAAAGGGGAUGAGGCCCAGGGACCAUGGUUCAAGAUCUAUGACACCUUUUAAUCUUGGCAUUUUGGUUUGAACUAGUGUCAAAUGUAGCCAUGCUCACAAAUAUUUAAAUAGCAUAAUUCUUAUUUUUUUAAAGUAAGUAUGCACAGGAUCAUAGGGCUUGAAGAAGCGGCUUAAGCUGAUCAGGUUCUAAUUUUAGGUCAACUUGAAAGUGAUUAUAGCAGCAAAAUCUGAAAUAGUUGUGGCGCUAGAAGAAUCCAUGCUGUUACAAGAUUGUAAUAGUAGGCUAGAUCUUAAGCGUUCAUUGUGUUCGGCACUGAGGGCCAACUUGCCCCAUUCCAUAGAUUUUCAGAUCUUCAGCUGUAUAGGAAAUAGAAAUUUAACAGCCAAUUCAACCCUCUUCAGUUCCAUGCAAAGGUUUCUCUGUCUCCCCCUUUUUCUCUUUCUGCACAAUUCAGCCACAAUUGGAAGGAGUUAGGGGCAUAGCUGAGGAGAGAAGUAGCCAGAUUUGGAGCACAUAACAGAUUCAUGGCUGAUGAAGGAUUGCAGCACAGGGCUCCCUAACCAGUACUCCGCUAGAUAUCCACCAGUGGAUAUGGAUGAAAUAUCUGCUAGAUCACAGUGGCUCUCAUUUUUUUAAAAUAUAGAUUUUAUUUAGAACCUGUUUGGCCCUGAUGCCUUUUUAAAAAAAAUGUACGUUUCUUGUUCAUUUGGGGAUGCUUGGAAAGUCUGAAACUCAGGUGAGAACUGCACUGAAAUUAAGACAGAAAAUCUCACAGUUACACAAGAAUAAACCCCAAUAUUGUGACUGGGACUUGUCUGGAUGGAAGCGUGAACAACCUUAUCUAAUAACCUGAUAACGAUGUUUUGUGCUUUGGGAGCUUGGGAGAGGGAAACCAUCAAGAUGCAAUUUAUUUCACAGAAGCUAGAGCACACCUGGAUAAAAUUAAGAAGUACUGUACCAUACACUGGUGCCAUCUAAAUGCCUUCUUCUAAGGAUGCGGAAUAUUUUGCUCAUAAACAUGCAUACAGUGUACUCUAUGCAAAAAUCUUAAAGAGUUAUUUCCUAGCUUUGUUUAUUGCAGGUUGCAGGUGACCACAACUAUGCUGCUUAAUAGCUCUGUUGACUGCUGCAUGAACUGCUCAUAAUGAACAUUGUGAUCUCCUCCCCAUCUCAUUUCUGUAGGCUGUUCAGUUGGCCCCUAGACGAUGGCUAAACCUGCAGGAAUACCAGAGUAAGAAACUGAUGGCUGAUCACGGGGUCACAGUUCAGAGAUUCUUCGUGGCUGACACUGCAAAUGAUGCUCUUGAGGCUGCUAAGAGACUAAGUAAGUUGACUAGUAAUGAAGUGAAACCUGCAGAGGCUGUAAACCAGCCUGGAAAAUUAUGUUGUGCUGCAAAUAUAUUGUUGCAUACAUGUUGCAUACAGUCUUUGAAGCGAAGACACGUUUUUAUUCUAGGGAUCGGAAAUAUAUAAAGAUAACGAACAUGGUUUCAUAUGCAGUCUUUAUUCCAUUUAGUCCCAGAGGCUCUGAGUGUUAGCAUAUAUACAUAUAUAACGGAACGUGUAGUGUAGUGCAGAACAGCAGAUGCUGUUGCUCAAUAUGACUUUUCCAGAAUUUCAUUUCCCUUUCUUGCUAUCAGUCCUGCUAAACAGCAAACUUGGAUAGUAGGCGCUGACAGGAUUGUAGACAAACUGAGACCACUGAUAAACAGGAGGGAUAGUCCAAUACUUGGGCGGGACACGGGUGGCGCUGUGGGUUAAACCACAGAGCCUAGGACUUGCUGAUCAGAAGGUCGGCCUGUUCGAAUCCCCGCAGUGGGGUGAGCUCCCGUCGCUCAGUCCCUGUUCCUGCCAGCCUAGCAGUUUGAAAGCACGUCAAAGUGCAAGUAGAUAAAUAGGUACCGCUCCAGCGGAAAGGUAAACGGUGUUUCCGUGCGCUGCUCUGGUUUGCCAGAAGCAGCUUAGUCAUGCUGGCCACAUGACCCGGAAGCUGUACGCCGGCUCCCGAGGCCAAUAAAGCGAGAUGAGCGCCGCAACCUCAGAGUCGGUCACGAUUGGACCUAAUGGUCAGGGGUCCCUUUACCUUUUAGUCCUAUACUUAGGGUAGGGCUGGGGACCCCAGUAUUGCAGAAUCUUAG
rnacentral:lncRNA from 1 species